CAGGGUCUGACGACUGCCCAAACCAAACCGUGAACUAUUCCACACAACCAUAUGCUUUGGCGGGCCGCUCGCUGGGGGAGCCUGGGCCGCUUUUGUCGGUGGUCCGCCGGAAGCAUGCAACAAACACUGCUCUGAGAACUGCUCUGAGAAAAUUCUUUUUCUAAAUGGAAAAUAAAUCA
rnacentral:misc_RNA from 1 species